GGGACUAUACUUUUAGGGAUCAUUUCUAUAGUGACUAGAGAAGUUUCUCUGACCAUGUAGAGCACCUGAAGCCACGAGGAGGAGACAGAGCGUCCUCUCCUGAGUGUGAAGCUGGCUCUAGGUGUUGCUUCUGCAACUGCUUUUGGCCAUUGAUGAUCAUUCUUCCCUUCCCUUACUUUGGAAGGGAUAAAGGGAGAGAUUCAUCUGAGUGGU